rnacentral:rRNA from 1 species
UACAGGGGGGGGGCAAGCGUUGUUCGGAAUUACUGGGCGUAAAGGGUUCGUAGGUGCCACUUAAGUCAGACGUGAAAUCCCUCAGCUUAACUGGGGAACUGCGUCUGAUACUGAGUGGCUUGAGUGCAGGAGAGGAAUGCGGAAUUCCAGGUGUAGCGGUGAAAUGCGUUGAUAUCCACAGGAACUCCGGUGGCGAAAGGCGGCACGCUGGAUCUCUACUGACGCUGAGGCGCGAAAGCCAGGGGAGCGAACGGG